rnacentral:lncRNA from 1 species
AAACAAUCUCUAUACUCCUAUACAAAGGUCAUAGGGUGAGAAUUAUACUGAGUAGUGAUGGAGUCAAGUAGGGAAAAGGGGUAUAUCCGAAUCUUCUUUGGCUGAAAAUUAUACUAUUUAUAUAUGUUAUCAAAAUUAUCUUUUAUAUGAAUAUAUAUAAUAGAUAUUGAAACCUUUUAACUUCUUUGCAUGUUUACUUUUUUAUAUUUUGAACUUUUUAGUGAAAAUUCUGGUGCCGCCACCGACACUAGUAUAUAGGAUGACAUGAAAUCUGUGUUGUAAGUUGAUUUGUUUAUUGAAAUGCUACGGAUUUGUUUAUUUUUUAUAUGUGGGAUCAUGUUAUAUUUUAUGUAGGUUUUGAUGAGCUGAUUUCUUUUCAAUAUUAUGAAGUAAUUAUAUAUGUUUUUUUGGUUCUUUUGCAGAGGGCAAGGAAGAAAAAUUAGUAAAGAAUAGAACUUUGAAUAUUGCUAUUAAUGGAAGUUGAAAAAGUUCCUCUUACAGGUUAGGAGUUUCUUCAAAUUGUGAGCUUUUAUAUUUGAUAAAUUUUUUAAAGUUGUUAUUUUUUCUCAAUAAAAAGACAGUUCCCUAUUAGGAGCUUGUGGUUUAGGUUUUAAUUGUAAUGGUUAUGUUGUGUUUUGGGCUAUAUAGCUUGGAAUUUCUAAAAAUGUUAUUGGACUCGUGUCGAAUCCCCUAAAAGUGAUGUCUGACACGCACUCGUUGACAUUUUUGAAGAGUUUGAGCAUAUAGGUUUUGGGUGUAUACAAAGCUGCUAACUUUAGCAUAUAAUCCUUAAUGUUAUCAGUGUGGCUACAAUAUAGUUUCAAGUUUGUGUCUUUCGAAAUUGGGUGAUUGAGUUUGAAGUGACAACUUUUGUUUCAAACAGAUCUAUUUGAGUAGUCAAGAUUUGGGGAUUUAGUUUUGAGUCUACUUUUGUUUUUGGUGGAAUUAGUGAUACCAUAGAGAUAUGUUACUGUAACUUGAAGCAGUAAAGAUGUUUAUCUCUACUAAUAAAUCGAGGGAUAUGUUACAUAGUGAGACUUCGCGAGGACCUAGUAGAAUUUUGCAUAGAAAAGAAAUUGUUGGAGUAGAUGUGGAGAAAGAUUCAGGAUUUAAGCUUUCUAGGUUCAACCUUUAAGAUUUUUAGCAUUGAACCCUAUGUAAUUUUUACUAUUUAUUGCAAUUUCAGUGAUUUGUUACACAUAAAUUUAUGUUCCGCAUUGGAAGUACUAUGCUCAGAUGAACCUGCUGCUAAAUAGAUGCAUUCGUAUAAUCUUCAUACUUCUGCCGAUUAUAAGUGAGUUCUACUUUCCUUCUUCUUGAUGCUUUCAAAUGAAAUGGAAUAUUGCAGUGAUGUGCUUGCUUUCAUUUGUAUAAUAUAGGUUUUGCCCAAAAAGCAAUAGUAGAGUUAUUGUCUACAUAAAUACGGUAGGUUUCGAUCUGUUGUGACAUGUAUGUAGCAUCUCCAACAAUUUCUGAACUCAAAUUGCACUAUGAAUGAGGCUAAUGUGACAUUAUUAUCUUCGAAAGUAGAAACAGUUGCAGAGGUUUCUUUUUUGAACACAAAGUAAAUGUCGCGUCUUCCUUAAGAAAUACAAAACCAGUAGUACUCAUUUGAUUCACCCCAUUCAGUGUUGCCAUUUGCCAACAAGUUCGAAAUUUUCAGAUGGAGAAAAUCAAUAGUCUAUAAUUAAAUUAAUCACCUUUGACAUAUAUAUCGAUGAGUUGAGUACUUUCUUCCAUCAAUCAUCCAAGUUCUUAUGUACUCUUAAGUAAGUGUAAUCCUGCAAAAGACUUAAAAGACCUAUAUAAUGGCUUUGAACAAUCAAACUAGUACACUACGAUACAUAAAGUCCAACUCUCCCUAAAGAUAUGGCGGAGGGAAAGUGGUAAAAAAGAGAAGGUUAGAAGGAAGAACACAUAUGUAGAGUUGAUAUUUCCUCUUGUUGCUUGAUUUGCUCCAAUGAACCGAGAAUGUAAAGUACUAAUUAAAUUUAUCAACUUCAUUUGUUAAACUUCCGUCUUAGCUUGGGACUCCAUCAAAAGACGAAAUCUUGCAAAGUCGUCAUAACUCAUUGUGGCCAUAGAAAAUAUAUGACUUACUUGAUCAAAGUCUUGAUAUAAAUGAGUUUGAAUUCUAUCUUCUUGAUGCAUCUUCGAAUGAAAUAGGACCUUGGCUCGAUUUGGUUACUUCAUUCAUGGAAUAAUAGCUUUCCUCCCGAAGAAAUAACAUAGUUCUCAUUUCUCGUGUCUAAGGAUGUUCAUGGUUCGGUCUGAUUCAGUUUCCAUAAAUAUGAACUCAAAUCAACCAUGUUAGUUUUUUAUUUGGUUUGGUUUUCACAUCUUUUUCGGUUUUGUCGUUUGUUUUUCACAUGCAUUUCUUAGUGAUUCCUUUGUCCAGAUAGAUCUAAUUGACUAAUCAAAAUUUGGGGACUUGGUUUUGAUUGAACAAAUAUAGCAUUAAGAACUUUAACUUUCAUUUUUGUCUUGGUGGAUUUAGAUUGUUUGUUUUGGUAAUUGAAGUCUGCUUUGGCUGUUUAAUGGAUGGUGUUAACAGUUGAUAGUGGUAAAUGGAGAAGGGGAACUAAGAACCCGAAAAAAUAUAUGAACCAACUAAAUCUUGCCCUCAUACUUUAAUGCCUUAGUAAAUAUGUCAGUGAAGUGAAGUGAUCAUAGUCUUGAUACAAGUGAAUUCUACUUCUUUCUUCUUGAUGCUUCCAGAUUACGUAGAAUAUUGUAUCGAUGCCAUACUCUUGUUGUGUCUUCCAUGAAAUAGUAGCCAGUGGUACUCUUGCGAUCAUAUACUGUGGCUUGACUUGCUAUUCUGCUUUAAAGUUUUCUUGUAUGUAACUUGUAUAAACUUCUUGAGAUGAAUGCCAUCAACAUAUUGCUUCGCUCCAAUGCUAAGAUAUUAGAAGAUAUGUGAUAACUGUUAUUUUCAUGCCAUCACUUUCUUGAAUUCACUAAAUGUUUUUUAAUAACGGUGAUGUCAGGGCCAGGUAGUUUGCGCACACCUCGUUCAUUUCAUCGGAUACCUGAUACCUCUACAACAUAUGUACCAGCCCAUCGGGUAACUUUGUCCGCCAAGGCUUAACAAAUGAGAACAAAACACCUUGCCUCCUCUGAGGUAUGAACUUGAGAUCUCGUAGUUCUCCUCUCACUUUAUUGACCACUAUUAAUAGGCACAUCCUUGGGUGAAAUUCAUUUGAACAUAUAUAUUUAAACUUUGAUAGUUGUGGUUGUCGUCUACAUGGUAUGUGACACCACACAAUGUUGACUAAUGUUGAGCCAGGAGAUAUAUAUUCCCUUGGAUCAUUAUAGCACUCGUUGAACAAUUGAGUAGAAAUGGAUAGGUUAUAAGAAGUAGAAAACCCAUAUCAAUCUAUCUCUAUAGGAGACAACAUGAGCAAAGGAUGGGAACGGUUAAAUCCUUUGGAAAAGAAUUCACCCCCUCAUCAAUUAUAUAUUAUGAAAUGAAGGAAAUACCUCCAUUUCCAUCUUCCUUAUCAAAAAGUGUUCUUAUGUGUAUAAAUGGUAAAAGUUGAAAUCCAUGGUCUUGAAGAUGCUUUAAUUCCUAUAAGGCUUCUUUCAGUUUUAAAACUUAUUCUUUAUGCUCUUUGGUUAUGUAGCACACAUGUUGUUGAGUAUAAACAUCGGCUUCGUCAAGUUAACAAAAGCCAUAUUACUAGAUAUUGUGUGUUUCUUUAAAGGGAAGAAGAAAGAAUCAGUGAUAAGAAUAUAAGAGAGUUUUAAUUUUAGUCCUGUUAUUGGCAUAAAGGUUCUCAUGGAGAAAUCUCUGAUUAUGGUUACACAAGGUCGGAUUUUAAUGCAUCAAUCGAUACAAGAAAUCGGUUGGUAUAUUAUUCGACAAGAUGCUUCGGAUGAUUCAAGAAGAUAUAGUAGGUUGUGGAUGCCUGGGAAUAUUUCUCAUGUACUUGGAGGAGAUUUGAUAAGUGUUUGCACAAACUAUGUUGCUCGGACUCUUUAAAAAUGGCGGUGGGUGCAUGUUGGAUCCUCCAAAAGUAGUGCAUUUUCGUAGGAUCCAAUACGUGUGCGGCAUCAACUUUGGAGAGUCCGAGCAACAUAGUGCACAAAUGAUGAUUUCUAAUUAGUUAUUAGUUCAAGCAGCAGCUGAUGUAUGAUGUAACUUUAUAACUUCUUUCUCCAAUUUUCCUUUUUGCCUGAUUGUUCUUUCUUAAUAAUCAGGGCACUGAAAAGAUCGAAGGCAUGUGACUGAACUUGGAUUCUGCACAAGAAGUGAAUGUCAGCAGUGCAGUUUCUCAGUAUCCAAAAUACAAAUGUUCGUCAGGGUCCUGAUUUUCUUCAUGGUGAGUUGAGUUGGAUGUCCAUCAAGAAGUCUGUCUGUUAGUUUUCGGGGGAGAAAAGCUUGUUGGUUUGAAGUUGAAAGAUAGCCGAAUUACACAACUUUGGCAAGGCUCCAACGUUUAUAUAUAGUCGGAGUACUAAUUAUCUGGCUGUUUUGCUUUCUUGCUGUUUGAUUUGUUUCAGUAUGACAGGUUCUAGUAAGGUUGAUUUGUUUCAUCAACCUAGCCAAUCACAGAAGCUAGUAAGGACCCCGGAUUUUUCAGGUACCAGUAAUCUUGAAAGUGUUAAGGUUUUGAUUCUAUCAGCCUGCUUAAAACUCGAAAAGUUCCUGAAAAAAUAGAAGAAGAAAUGAAUCGCUUUUCAAAAGUGUACUUGGAUGGAGCUUCUUUGGGAGAGGUACGCGCAUCACUUGAGAACCUUCCAGGGGUUAGCUUGAAUAUUUGAUAAAUCUUAGUUACUGCAAGCAUCUUGAGAAUCUCCCAAGCAGUAUUUUUAGAUUGAAGUGUCUUAAGAACACUUGCUCUAUUCGGGUGCUCAAGACUCGAAAAAAUAUCAGAUGAUGUGGGACUUUUAACGGGCUUAGAGGAGCUCCGCUGUGAUGGCACAGCCAUCCGAACACUUGUCUUUUCGUGGAUGUAAUGCUUUGGGUUUACAAGUAAACAGCUCAUUCUUCUCCUUUUGGCUUCCAGGAAAAGGUCAAAACUCCACGGGUCUAAUUUAUCGAGUCUUUGUUCAUUGACAAUGCUUGAUACUAGUCACUGCAAUAUCUCAGACAGAGGCUGGAGGCACCCUAUGUAAUCUUGUGUACUUAUCAUCUUUGUGGUAACAGCUUUACCAAUAUUCCAGCUGCAAGCAUCAGUGAUCUAACUGAGCUACUUGCGCCGAGUUCACCUUGGACGUGGUUGAUACAAUUAUGGAAUAACAUGCUCAAGGUAACUGCAGAAUGACAGGCAAAUUACAUUCCUUUAAUGGAGAUAUAUCUGUGGAUUCAGACUAACUGAGCUGUGUUUUAAAGUCAGCAGCAGAUCCACAAAGCAGGAAUUUGAGUUAGACGAUAGGAUUCAGUCUGGUUCUCUUGCCAGGAUAGGCCUUGGGACGGAGCUAGCAUGGAAAGUACGGGCCAGAAUUCAGUUACUUCGGAGCAAAUCCUGUAUAUAUUUGUUCAUUGAAUAUCUAUAUCUUUAAAUUUUGGAUUCACCUCUAAUCGUAAGUGAAUGUAUGAUCCAGAAGAAAACAUGUCAAGUUCUUCAAUGUGCAGAGAGAUUGUUGUUUGUCAAAUUACACCUCUUAUUCAACUGGUUUAUCUUGUUCAAGAGUUCUUGGUAAGUAACUUUCUAUAAUCUAUUGUUGUUGUAUUCAAAUGUACCUUGUCAUAUAAAUUCAUCCUCAAGUUUUAUUUUUUUGCUUGUUUCCUAUUUUCUUUUCAUUGAAUGGACUAUUUUUAUUAG